rnacentral:lncRNA from 1 species
GACACAGGGUGAGAAGAAGAGGGCUGCAAUUAGGGGCAGGAAGAGGAGGCGGUGACACACAUCACUUCGAGGGACUGGACCCAGUGAAUGGGAACCACUCCCAGGAGCUAAGGAUUCUUCUACAGCACCUUCCAUUUUGCAACAGGAGCUGGAACUGGGGCAGAAAGCUCUGUCAGAGAGACCUGGAGAUGCAGGAGUCAUCUCUGAACUCUGAGACCCUGAGCAGCAGGAAGAUGGUGAAUAAAUGCAAGCCCCAGCUAUACAAUUACAACCUAGCCUGAGAGGAGGAAGAGGCCAGGAGGUGCAACUUCAGGUCCCAGGCGCCUCGCAACCAGCUUGCUCAUCUCAGGGUCCGCGAGACUGGGAUUUACACAAGCAGCACAGCAGAGGCACUCACUGAACAAAGCCCAUAGGGGUCCCUGCCUGGUCCUCACCAUGCCCGAUAGCUUUGAUCUCCACUG